rnacentral:rRNA from 1 species
CGAUAGCGUAUAUUAAAGUUGUUGCAGUUAAAAAGCUCGUAGUUGGAUUUGUGGCGUACGGUGUGUUCCGGGCACUUGUUGUCUGAGUAACCUGCUGUUGCCAUCCUUGGGUGGAACCUGUGUGGCAUUAGGUUGUCGUGCAGGGGAUGCCCAUCGUUUACUGUGAAAAAAUUAGAGUGUUCAAAGCAGGCUUAUGCCGUUGAAUAUAUUAGCAUGGAAUAAUGAGAUAGGACUUUUUUGCUAUUUUGUUGGUUUGCGCAAAGAGGUAAUGAUUAAUAGGGACAGUUGGGGGUAUUCGUAUUCCAUUGUCAGAGGUGAAAUCCUUGGAUUUUUGGAAGACGAACUACUGCGAAAGCAUUUACCAAGGAUGUUUUCAUUAA